rnacentral:rRNA from 1 species
AGAGUUUGAUCCUGGCUCAGGACGAACGCUGGCGGCGUGCCUAACACAUGCAAGUCGAACGGAAGCAAAGAUUUCGGUUUUUGCUUUAGUGGCGAACGGGUGAGUAACGCGUGAGGAACCUGCCUUUCAGUGGGGGACAACAGUUGGAAACGACUGCUAAUACCGCAUAAUGCUUUUUGAUGGCAUCAUUGAAAAGCCAAAGAUUUAUUGCUGAAAGAUGGCCUCGCGUCUGAUUAGCUGGUUGGUGGGGUAACGGCCCACCAAGGCGACGAUCAGUAGCCGGUCUGAGAGGAUGAACGGCCACAUUGGGACUGAGAUACGGCCCAGACUCCUACGGGAGGCAGCAGUGGGGAAUAUUGGGCAAUGGGGGAAACCCUGACCCAGCAACGCCGCGUGAAGGAAGAAGGCCUUCGGGUUGUAAACUUCUUUUACCAGGGACGAAAAAAGUGACGGUACCUGGAGAAAAAGCAACGGCUAACUACGUGCCAGCAGCCGCGGUAAUACGUAGGUUGCAAGCGUUGUCCGGAUUUACUGGGUGUAAAGGGCGUGUAGGCGGAGAUGCAAGUUGGGAGUGAAAUCCAUGGGCUCAACCCAUGAACUGCUCUCAAAACUGUAUCCCUUGAGUAUCGGAGAGGCAAGCGGAAUUCCUAGUGUAGCGGUGAAAUGCGUAGAUAUUAGGAGGAACACCAGUGGCGAAGGCGGCUUGCUGGACGACAACUGACGCUGAGGCGCGAAAGCGUGGGGAGCAAACAGGAUUAGAUACCCUGGUAGUCCACGCUGUAAACGAUGAAUACUAGGUGUGGGAGGACUGACCCCUUCCGUGCCGCAGUUAACACAAUAAGUAUUCCACCUGGGGAGUACGACCGCAAGGUUGAAACUCAAAGGAAUUGACGGGGGCCCGCACAAGCAGUGGAUUAUGUGGUUUAAUUCGACGCAACGCGAAGAACCUUACCAGGACUUGACAUCCAACUAACGAAGUAGAGAUACAUUAGGUGCCCUUCGGGGAAAGUU